rnacentral:rRNA from 1 species
UUUCCAGACUUUGAUUCUGGCUCAGGAUGAACGCUGGCGGCGUGCCUAAUACAUGCAAGUCGAACGAAUCUUCUUCGGAAGAUGAGUGGCGAACGGGUGAGUAAUACAUAGGUAACCUGCCCCUGUGCGGGGGAUAACAGGAGGAAACUCCUGCUAAUACCGCAUAGCCAUGAGCACCGCAUGGAGCUCAUGCCAAAUAUCCUUCAGGGGAUAGCGCAGGGAUGGACCUAUGGCGCAUUAGCUAGUUGGCGGGGCAACGGCCCACCAAGGCAACGAUGCGUAGCCGGCCUGAGAGGGCGGACGGCCACAUUGGGACUGAGACACGGCCCAGACUCCUACGGGAGGCAGCAGUAGGGAAUUUUCGGCAAUGGGGGAAACCCUGACCGAGCAACGCCGCGUGAGCGAAGAAGGCCUUCGGGUCGUAAAGCUCUGUUGUAAAGGAAGAACGUCGCAUGCAGGAAAUGGUGUGCGAGUGACGGUACUUUACCAGAAAGCCACGGCUAACUACGUGCCAGCAGCCGCGGUAAUACGUAGGUGGCGAGCGUUAUCCGGAAUCAUUGGGCGUAAAGAGGGAGCAGGCGGCCGCAAGGGUCUGUGGUGAAAGACCGAAGCUAAACUUCGGUAAGCCAUGGAAACCGGGCGGCUAGAGUGCGGAAGAGGAUCGUGGAAUUCCAUGUGUAGCGGUGAAAUGCGUAGAUAUAUGGAGGAACACCAGUGGCGAAGGCGACGGUCUGGGCCGCAACUGACGCUCAUUCCCGAAAGCGUGGGGAGCAAAUAGGAUUAGAUACCCUAGUAGUCCACGCCGUAAACGAUGGUCACUAAGUGUCGGGGGUCAAACCCCGGUGCUGCAGUCAACGCAAUAAGUGACCCGCCUGAGUAGUACGUUCGCAAGAAUGCAACUCAAAUGAAUUGACGGAAU